rnacentral:rRNA from 1 species
AGGUUUCCGUAGGUGAACCUGCGGAAGGAUCAUUGUCGGAACUCGGACCCUAAAACGACCCGUGAACGCGUUAAGUACAAACAUCGCGGGGGGGUGAGGGAGCGUCCGCGCCCCGAUCUCCCUCGCGGCCCUUGCGCGCGGGACCAGCACCCGCCACGCCCCCCGGGCGUGCGGGACGGUUGGUUCCCGUCUCUAGCGGCCGAAACAACGAACCCCGGCGCGAGUCGCGCCAAGGAAUACGAAAAUGAUGAGGAGCACGCCGGCUGUCGCCGCCCCGUCCGCGGGGUCCGUGCGCGCAGCGUCGUGUCUCCUCCGUCGCGAAAAAAAUAACAAACGACUCUCGGCAACGGAUAUCUCGGCUCUCGCAUCGAUGAAGAACGUAGCGAAAUGCGAUACUUGGUGUGAAUUGCAGAAUCCCGUGAACCAUCGAGUCUUUGAACGCAAGUUGCGCCCCAAGCCAUUAGGCCGAGGGCACGUCUGCCUGGGUGUCACGCAUCGUCGCCCCUCCCCAUCCCUGGCCCCUCGGGGCUCCGGGUGAGGCGGGGGGCGRAAAAUGGCCUCCCGUGAGCUCCGCGCUCGCGGUUGGCCUAAAAUCGGGUCCUCGGCGACGAUAGCGCCGCGACAAUCGGUGGUCAUGCCUCGAGCGCUCCGGUCGCGUGCGUUUUCGUUCGUUCGGACCCUUCGAGACCCUACUCGCGUCGCACGAGCGAUGCUCGCAUCGCGACCCCAGGUCAGGCGGGACUACCCGCUGAGUUUAAGCAUAUCAAUAAGCGGGAGG